UGUGCCUGUGUCUGUCUGGGAGGAC
rnacentral:piRNA from 1 species